UCCCGUAUCUGAAAGUGACUGCAGGCUGCCUGUGCCUUGGUCAUUGGUAGGGCAGGAGAGGAGUCACCGAGAAAAGUUCCCGUGUUUGAAGGGUCCAGCCAUCCUUUCCAAACCCUGGAGCUUUCCCACA